GUGAAUAAAAAUAGUCGAUCUCAGUUAGCCAAUGCGAGAAAAGCAUUGAAUGAAAGAAAAAACGAGCCUGAUCAGCCAAUCGAGGCAGUGGCAGUACAUGUAGAGGACGAAAAGGAGGUAGCCGGCAGCAGCGCGUCGAGAUGCAAAUUAGUUGAGAUGAAGAUGACAGCUAGCAGCGAUCAACCAGACAGCAGUCAGACAACAGUGGCUUUUAUUCCACAUGUCACAAAUAAACCAACUUGUACAUGAUUUGAUUUACCCUAAGUGUCUAAACACUGGACUGAAAAUCACCAUAGACCCCACCAACCAGAGAUUCUGUAAUUCUGUCAUGAUAGAAUGUGCACACUGUGAAGGUGAUCAUGAUGCAUUUAGGAGGAGUGUUGACACUUCCUCCAGGCUACAGGAGUGCUCCAGGGGAGAUGUGGCAUUUUAUAUAAAUGUGAGGAUGGUUCUUCUAGCCCACGAACUUGGACUUGGUUAUGCAGCUCUAAAGAAAAUAAGCAAAGUCCUACGGAUUCCUUCCUUGCCUCUCAGCUCAUAUCAGAGACGUCCCAGGAGAGUGACAGGUUCGUGCGCAGACUGCUGUUCUUUUAUAAGCCCAGCAGUAAGCUGUAUGCCAGCCUGUAGCUGGACCACAGCAAAGCCAGGCAGCUCACUGUGGUGGGAUGCCAGUUCAUUGAGUUCCUCCUGGAGUCUGACGAGGAUGGGCAGGUGUACCUGGAGGACCUGGUAAAGGACAUAGUCCAGUGGCUCUCCUCUUCUUCGGGGCUCAAGCCCG